rnacentral:lncRNA from 1 species
GAAACAGAAGUAUAUUAGUAUAUUAUUUGCAUAAAAAGCUCCCUUCUUAGUCACUGGUAUUUUUCAGUAUCAGGUAGUACUGUAUUUUGUCUUGAGAAUGAUCUGGAAUACAAAAAUCUUGUGAUUACUUUGCUCUAUUUCACAUUUUUCCUUACUGAAGAGUGAGUGGUUGCAGCAGCAUCCUGGGUCAGGCAUUUGAAGGGCUGGGGAAGUGGCAGGGCUUACCACCUGACUACCAUGAGGAUGAUGCAGAGAACCUUCCAGAACACCCACUUCUGCUUGUCACCAGGAUACUGCAGGAACUGAAGCCAGCCACAGUCAGGUGUUCUCUGCCCAGUCCUGCCACUGGCCUGGGGCCACUGUGGGGGUGACCCAGUGCAGCUGCUGUGAGGGCCUGCCACAGCACCUGAGGGAUGAUGGCCCACCCCUGGCAAGUGCAGUCCAGCUGGGACCACUGUGCUCACUGGUUGCUGUCCUCCCUGAGUGCCUCGGCCUUCCCUAUAGGACAGUUUUGUUUGUAGCCUCAAAAAUAAAAACUAAAAAUCAAGAAAGAAGAGAACUACAUUUAGGGUCCUGAUUUUUGAAGAGCGGGUUGAAAGGAAUUUAAAUCUCAUCAGAUUCUCUUACAGAAUUAACUGACUACAUAAAUAAGCCUCCACUAGCAAAGUACUCGUGGUUUUGAAACAUCCCUUGCAUGAUUUUCUUUUCUCCCACACAACAUUUUAAUUUACUGAACAGUCU